UCCCUUGCCUUAUAUAGGGCAUAACAGCCAAUCACAGAGGUGUUCACGUGAACAGGAGGUAUCUGGGGCUCAUAGGCAGUGGUGGCAUACGGUGUUCAUGUGACAAGCACGAGGUCACGUGUGGCCAGGGCGGAUGUUUUUUAGGCUGUCCCUGCUGCUCGGGCUAUGUAGCCGGCACCAUCUUAGGGGCGCGACCCGGACACACUGCAAUUGAAAGGUACACGGCUUUACAAAACCAUAAGGCUACAGAACUUGGUGAUGUCUUCCUUAAAGAACUGACAAAUGAGGACACUGAGAAAGAUUCCAUGACUUGGUCAAGGCCACACAAAUAACAACAAAUAAAAAGGAAGAGUCAGGCUUCAAACCCAGGCAUGCUGACUCCAGUUCUGUGCUGGAAACUACUCCUCUAAAGGCAGGUGCUCCCUCUCCUCAUGAGAGCGGCUCCGGAUGCCACAUAAAUAGAAACCUGGCAAACCUGGCCGACCAGUUCACCGCACCUUCCAGGUUAGUCUGCAACCGCAGCCUUACUGCAUGGACAUCACACGCUUGAACUGGCUUCCGCCACAAGCAAUUGGCUACAUUUGUUCAGCAAUCCUUAUCGUUUUGUUCCUGCGCUGAUGAAAUUGCUCAGAUGGUUACAACACAACCAGUAUUACUGUCAUCACAAGAAAAUAUGAAAGGAGGAAGAUAAACAUGAAUAAGAGUGGUCACCAAUGCCAAUAUUCUUCCAGCAAAAUAAAGAAUGAAAUUUCAAAUAUCAUACACUUUGCCCCUGCUGAUUCUGUUUUUUCCUCUGGAACUACUCAGACCAGUGCCAGUGCCAAGGAAAUGACUCUUUCUGAUUAGAAAAUAAAUGGAAAUUGAAGAUCUGUCACAAUGUAUCCAGUAGAAUUGCACAAAGCAAAAUAAUUCUUCAACUCUGUGUUGAAAGGAUGAGCUCCCUCUGUGAUCAUCACUUCCUGGGAUUGAAGAGUUCAUGGUUGUGUGGUUUGAAAUUAAACUGAGUUCAAAAGUGUGAAUUUUUUUUCUAUUUAUCUGUUGAGGGAAGAAAACUGAAAGGACCAUACCAGUAAGAAAAUUUGUAUGACUAUGCAGCAUAAGUCACCAUUAGUAGAUUAAGUAACUUCUCAUAUCAUUAUAUUACGUAGAAGCCCAUAAAAUUAAAACAGGGACAUUAUUGUGAUUUUAGUCUACAUAUUUGGUCUUUAGUAUUCUGUUAUAUCAUUAUUAUAUUCAUGUUGCUGAGUAUAUAUGAAAAUUUCCUAAAUGUAUUAUUGGAGGCUAUGACAUAUAGCAAUCAUUGCUAGUUUAUAUAGAAUAUUAAAUAAAAAUAACAGGAAACAGGGAAACAUUUUUAUGGUAAAUUAAGUGGCAGAUGUAAAGAAGAACAUCUUUGUGGCUACUUCCAAAAGUUUAAUACUGAGACAGAAAAACGUGGUGUUAUUCAUCAAAAACAUAGCAUGUUUAUGGAUAAGAGGGAGCAUACAUGUAUCUCCUCCAACUUUCUGCAAUGGUAAAUAGAGGCGAGUAAGAAAUAAUAAAAUAAUAACAGCAUGGGUUUCAGAUAGUAAAAUAUGUUUUUA